AUGUCACUUGCACUGCUGACUUGCUUUAUAAUCUAUAAGAAGACACCAAAAGCGACAUUUUCAUUGUUGCCUUCUCUCAGGGAGAAAUUCCCUAGAGUUUCUUAUUGGGACCUAGCUCGAGCGACGGGCAACUUCUCUGAGAUUAACUUGAUUGGCGGAGGAAGUUACAGUUCAGUGUACAGAGGCAACUUGAGCCAAGUCAAAACGGAAGUGGCAGUCAAGGUACUUGACCUUGAGAUUCCAGGCGCCGAAGGAAGUUUUGCAUUAGAAUGCAAAGCACUGAGAGGCAUUCGUCACAGAAACAUUGUUCCUCUCAUAACAGAAUGCUCUGCAAUCAACAACAAAGGCAAUGCUUUCAGAGCUCUAAUCUAUGCUUUCAUGCCCAAUGGGAACUUGGACACUUGGUUGCAUCAUCAAGAGAAUCAGGCAGCCGGAAGGCAUUUAGGCCUAGCUCAAAGAAUAAGCAUAGCUACUAACAUAGCAGAUGCAUUGGACUAUUUGCAUCAUGAUAGUGGGAGGCCCAUCAUCCAUUGUGAUCUAGGAGAGUGA
rnacentral:rRNA from 1 species